GACGAACGCUGGCGGCGUGCUUAACACAUGCAAGUCGAACGGAAAGGCCCUGCUUGCAGGGUACUCGAGUGGCGAACGGGUGAGUAACACGUGGGUGAUCUGCCCUGCACUUCGGGAUAAGCUUGGGAAACUGGGUCUAAUACCGGAUAGGAGCCAUCUUUAGUGUGGUGGUUGGAAAGUUUUUUCGGUGUAGGAUGAGCUCGCGGCCUAUCAGCUUGUUGGUGGGGUAAUGGCCUACCAAGGCGGCGACGGGUAGCCGGCCUGAGAGGGUGUACGGCCACAUUGGGACUGAGAUACGGGCCAGACUCCGACGGGGGGCAGCAGUGGGGAAUAUUGCACAAUGGGCGCAAGCCUGAUGCAGCGACGCCGCGUGGGGGAUGAAGGCCUUCGGGUUGUAAGCUCCUUUCGCGAGGGACGAAGCUUUGUUGUGACGGUACCUAGAUAAGAAGCACCGGCUAACUACGUG
rnacentral:rRNA from 1 species